AGUUCGAUUAUGGCUCAGAUUGAACACUGGCGGGAUGCUUUACACAUGCAAGUCGAACGGCGGCACGGACUUCCGGUCUGUUGGCAGUGGCGAACGGGUGAGUAAUGUAUCGGAACGUGCCUGGUGGCGGGGGAUAACUGCGCGAAGCGCGUAGCUAAUACCGCAUACGCCCUUCAAGGGGAAAGCGGGGGACCUUCGGGCCUCGCACUAUUAGAAGCGGCCGAUAUCGGAUUAGCUAGUUGGUGGGGUAACGGCUCGCAAGGGCGACGAUCCGUAGCUGGUUUGAGAGGACGACCAGCCACACUGGGACUGAGACACGGCCCGAACUCUGGGAGGCAGCAGUGGGGAAUUUUGGACAAUGGGGAAACCACAGUCCAGCCAUCCCGCGUGUGCGAUGAAGGCCUUCGGGUUAUAAAGCACUUUUGGCAGGAAAGAAACGGCUGGGAUAAUACCCCGUGCAACUGACGACCUGCAGAAUAAGCACCGGCUAACUACGUGCCAGCAGCCGCGGUAAUACGUAAGUGCAAGCGUUAAUCGGAAUUACUGGGCGUAAAGCGUGCGCAGGCGGUUCGGAAGAAGAUGUGAAAUCCAGAGCAACUGGAACUGCAUUUUUAACUACCGAGCUAGAGUGUGUCAGAGGUGGAAUUCCGCGAUGUAGCAGUGAAAUGCGUAGAUAUGCGGAGGAACACCGAUGGCGAAGGCAGCCUCCUGGGAUGGACAACACUGACGCUCAUGCACGAAAGCGUGGGGAGCAAACAGGAUUAGAUACCCUGGUAGUCCACGCCCUAGCUUGAUGUCAACUAGCUGUUGGGGCCUUCGGGCCUUGGUAGCGCAGCUAACGCGUGAAGUUGACCGCCUGGGAGAGUACGAUUAUAAGAUUAAAACUCAAAGGAAUUGACGGGGACCCGCACAAGCGGUGGAUGAUGUGGAUUAAUUCGAUGCAACGCGAAAACCUUACCUACCCUUGACAUGUCUGGAAUCCCGAAGAGAUUUGGGAGUGCUCGCAAGAGAACCGGAACACAGGUGCUGCAUGGCUGUCGUCAGCUCGUGUCGUGAGAUGUUGGGUUAAGUCCCGCAACGAGCUGUACCCAUCAUUAGUUGCUACGAAGGGCACUCUAAUGAGACUACCGGUAUAUGGAAACCGGAAGGUGGGGAUGACGUCAAGUCCUCAUGGCCCUUAUGGGUAGGGCUUCACACGUCGUACAAUGGUCGGGACAGAGGGUCGCCAACCCGCGAGAGGUAAUCCAGAAACCCGAUCGUAGUCGGAUCGCAGUCUGCAACUCGACUGCGUGAAGUCGGAAUCGCUGGUAAUCGCGGAUCUUGACAUGUCGCGGUGAAUACGUUCCCGGGUCUUGUACACACCGCCCGUCACACCAUGGGAGUGGGUUUUACCAAGUAGUUAGCUUCAUGGCGGAGGCGAUUACCACGGUAGGAUUCAUGACUGGGGGUGAAGUCGUAACAAGGUAA
rnacentral:rRNA from 1 species